rnacentral:rRNA from 1 species
UACAGAGGUCUCGAGCGUUUGUUCGGAUUCAUUGGGCGUAAAGGGUGCGCAGGCGCCGGGUGUGUCAGAUGUGAAAUCCCGAGGCUCAACCUCGGAACUGCGUCUGAAACUACUCGGCUAGAGUACUGGAGAGGGUAACGGAAUUCACGGUGUAGCAGUGAAAUGCGUAGAUAGUCGUGAGGAACACCAGAGGCGAAGGCGGUUACCUGGACAGUUACUGACGCUCGAGGCACGAAAGCAUGGGGAGCAAAAGGGAUUAGAUACCCC